CUGAAAAUACCCCUCCCAUUCCUCACUUUGGUUCUCCCAUAACCUGCAUCCAUAAGCAGCUUGAAAGCAGGCUCUUCACUUCUGGAGAUGGCCAGAAACUGUGACCCCUACAGCAUUCUGGGACUGAGUGUGAUAAACCUGGAGGAUUUCACAGCUGGUUCAAGCAACUCCUAUCAACCAUCAACCAGCAUUCCAAACAUCAUACGCUGAAGAUAGCCAGCCGGCUACAUUGAUCCAAACACUCAUGAUUUC